GGAUUAGAUACCCUGGUAGUCCUAGCUGUAAACGAUGGAUACUAGACGUAGGAACUGGACUGACGGUUUCUGUGUCGUAGCUAACGCAUUAAGUUCUCCGCCUGGGGAGUACGACCGCAAGGUUGAAACUCAAAGGAAUUGACGGGGACCCGCACAAGCGGUGGAGCAUGUGGUUUAAUUCGAAGAUACGCGCAGAACCUUACCAACACUUGACAUGUUCGUCGCGGCUCUAAGAGAUUAGAGCUUUCGGUUCUGCCGGACGAAACACAGGUGCUGCAUGGCUGUCGUCAGCUCGUGCCG
rnacentral:rRNA from 1 species